CAAAUAAUUUGUGGUGUGUUCUUAUUUAGUUAUGGCACAGCCACACCUAACUAUAAUUAUUUGUUAUCGCAGGUCGACUAUAUUAUUAACAUUGAAAAACAUAUGACAAUUAUUGUAUAAACAAUAUCUUUUUGA
rnacentral:pre_miRNA from 13 species